CUCUCGAACCCUAAUCGAAGAAUCAACCCUAAAAAAAAACCCAGAUCCUCUUCCCUGCCAUAAUUUUUCUUCGCCCUAGCUCUUCUUCGCCUUUGUUCGUCUUCGUCGUAGCUUCUGCCACCGCAGUUCCUCUUGUCGCCGCCAUAUCUCUUCCUCAACGAAGGGCAGCAAUACUCUAUUUUCGCUUCUCAUAAACCCAUAGUGCUAUCUCAGAAGUUUUUAUGCUAAGGAAGUGUCAACUUGGUAGGAAGUGUCAACUUUGUCUUGCUGGAUUUCUUCACAUAAUUGAGGCUCUUGCAGUUAAAUAUUGGUUACAUUGCCUCAUGCUACGCUAGAAAAGACAAACGCUUUGGGGGCGCAGAGCCAAGGCACGCGCAAUAUUUAUUGCGUUUAUGGGACUGUCCAACACCACUUGCUCAAAUCUACCCCUAAAUUAAUAUUGUGUAGAUGAGGGCUAUAAAAGAAGAACUUGGUGAUAAUGAGGAUGAUGAGGAUGACCUGGUUGCCCUUGAAAGGAAUAUGCAGAAGGCAGGAAUGCCACCAAAUGUAUGGAAACAUGCACACACAGAGUUGAGUUCGCAGGUUUACCUUGAUCUUCUUGCCGAUCUGCCCUGGAAGAAGGCCAGCGAAGAGAUUGAAAUGGACUUAAGGGCUGCACAAAAGCGACUGGACAGUGAUCACUAUGGUUUAGUGAAGGUCAAGCAAAGAAUUAUUGAAUACCUAGCAGUUCGCAAGACUUGGGUUAGUUCAAUUGAGGCUGCUCAACAAUAACUAUCAUAAUUGCCAGGAAGUUUGGAUUACCGUGUUACGGAGGAAAGUUUGAUGGAUCACGUAGGUACCAAUAUGCAUGAAGCAUGCCUGCAGAUUGACAAAGAAUGCAGGUGUUCGAUGAUCCCACAUCAUUAACCGAGGAGGAGCUGUAUGAAUUGCGAAACAGCUGGGCUACUUGUUUUCUUGACCUGUACAAUCCCGAGGUAGAUUAUGAUGUUGCCGAUGAUGAGGUUUAGGAGCUAGCUAGGUUAAUUUGUGUGAUGUUACAAUGAAUUCACAUUAAUUAGGAUGUUUUGAAUUGUAAUGACUUAUAUUUUGCUUGAAUGUUAUAACAUUUUGGAUUGUUGGUAUUUUGGUUGAAUUGUAAGACUUGGUAUUUUAUUUGAAUCGUAAUGA